UACGGAGGACCGGCGCGUUAUCCGGAAUCAUUGGGUUUAAAGGGUCCGUAGGCGGGACAUUAAGUCAGGGGUGAAAUGUUGCAGCUCAACUGCAGAAUGGCCUUUGAUACUGGUGUUCUUGAGUUAUGUUGCUGUGGUCGGAACAUGUGGUGUAGCGGUGAAAUGCAUAGAUAUCACAUAGAACGCCGAUUGCGAAGGCAGGGCACAAAGCAUAUACUGACGCUGAGGGACGAAAGCGUGGGGAGCGAACGGG
rnacentral:rRNA from 1 species